UUUUUUUUUCUUCUUCUUUCAUACAUUCUUUUAGUUUCCCUCUCUCUCUAUUUUUUUCUCUUUAUCUUGCUUUUUCCUAAUCUUUUCUACUUUUUUUUUAUUCUUUUUCUCUCUUUCUUUCAUGCAUUCUUAAACUUUCUUGUUCUCUCACCCUCAUGCUCUCUCUUUGUCUUGCACUUUCUUAUUUUUUUGUAUUUUUUUUGUUCUCUCUCUCUCUCUCUCUCUCUCUCUCUC
rnacentral:lncRNA from 1 species